rnacentral:lncRNA from 1 species
AAAAGAUAAGCAACUCUUGCAUCGUUGUGGCUUCCAAGAAUAUGAGACAUGUACCUUACGAGUGUUCCCUUCAAGAUCACGAUAAAAAACCUCAUUAGGGAGAUCUUCGUCAGAGGAAACCAGUACACAUGCUCGGGCAAAUGUUAAUCUCGUCUGCGCAGCUGUUGCUUUAUCAAUAUAGAGUGGCUGUCCCAAAGUACUGCAUAACUUUGCAAUAAAACGUCGACUCCAAAGAUGUAGAGGGAGACCUUGAAACGAUACCCAUAAGGGAAUAGACUGUAGACUGUCUAACUCCAAACGAACAUCAGGGGACCAG